UACAGAGGGUGCAAGCGUUAAUCGGAAUUACUGGGCGUAAAGCGUGCGUAGACGGUUAUGUAAGUUAGGUGUGAAAGCCCCGGGCUCAACCUGGGAAUUGCAUUUAAGACUGCAUAGCUAGGGUGCGGAAGAGGGAAGCGGAAGUUUCCGGUGUGAGCGGUGAAAUGCGUAGAUAUACGGAAGGAACAUCAGUGGCGAAA
rnacentral:rRNA from 1 species